CACCACAACAGGUGGGCCUGCGGUUUAAUCGGACUCAACGCCGGGAAACUCACCAGAUAAGACAGCUGAAUGAUAGUCGGGCUGAAGACUCUACUUGACUAGCUGAGAGGAGGUGCAUGGCCGUCGUCAGUUCGUACUGUGAAGCAUCCCGUUAAGUCAGGCAACGAGCGAGACCCACGCCAACAGUUGCCAGCUCGUCCUCCGGGAUGGUGGGGACACUGUUGGGACCGCCUCUGCUAAAGAGGAGGAAGGAAUGGGCAACGGUAGGUCAGCAUGCCCCGAAUUAUCUGGGCUACACGCGGGCUACAAUGGGUGGGACAAUGGGUAUCGACACCGAAAGGUGAAGGCAAUCUCCUAAACCCAUCCGUAGUUCGGAUUGUGGGCUGCAACUCGCCCACAUGAAGCUGGAAUCUGUAGUAAUCGUGUCUCAAAAUGGCACGGUGAAUAUGUCCCUGCUCCUU
rnacentral:rRNA from 1 species